rnacentral:lncRNA from 1 species
AAGUGGCCGGUGCUAAACUUAAUUACGUAACACUGAAUAAGGGGCCCCACCAGUUCAGUAAUCAAAUGUAACAUUAAAUGCUCAUACCCCUGUUUCUCUUCCUCUGCCGCCCAAAACCGUUUUCUCAUUUGCCCCUUUGCAAAUUUCAUCAAAGCCCCUUUGAUUAUUGAUGACUAUUAUGAGAGGGGUUUUUAAUUCAACUUCCACCAGUUUCACCUCCCUCUGUUAAACGGUCUCUUAAUUUCUCCAUGUUUGCCACCCAUGUCAGUUUCUGUUCCUCUUAUUAUGUUGGGUUUGUUUAAUUCCUUGGCCGAUUAGGUCUGGUUUCCGCUUAUUUGCUUAUUCUUCCACUUUAUUUCUCUUAAUGGCUCUAAUUAUUAAACAGCCACCAGAUGAAGUAUUAGCUCCCCCACGUUUGCCACCUAUGGCUUUCCUCCUCCUUCCGCAUUUGCUACACACAUAGCCUUCCAUCUUCUUCCGUUUCUCUCCUUUCCUUCUUUGAUUGGUUGGUGUUAAAUAUGUUGCUACAUAUAGCUGUUUCUCUGUGAUAUGUUUGGCCGCCGAUAUGGAAAUUCCUUUGAAUUGAGGUGAGAUUCGUAUACAAGUAAUUUUGCCCAUUUGAUUUUGGCUUUUGCUUUCAAAAAAGAAUUACCAUGCUUUCUUACCAUGCUUUCUUAGACCUGAUGUGUUUGUUCUCAUCUGCAUCCUUCGUCCGUUUAUUAGUUCCGGCCUUUCAUACAAAGUUAAUUAUUUUUUUUGUUAUGCAGGCUCAAACUCUUCUCAUCAAGAUCAAGUUUUAUCAAUUUCUUUUUUAAAAAGGUUAGUUCAUUUUCUACUUUUCUCCAAACUUGCUGGAAUAGAUGUUUUUUUUAAAAAAUGAUUUUGUGGACUGUGUUUACCAUUGAAUUCAUGCCUGCUUGGAAAUCUCCGUUAGUUUACAAUUUAUGCUUGUUUGGCGAUCUUCUUUUGUUUACAUUGGAUUUGAAUAUUAUGUGGUGCAGUUAAAAAAUCUUUUGCUCUUUCAUCGCUCAUAAAUUUCAUGACAUGUGUAUGUACAUGAAAGCAUAAGCAAUUAGUAUUGUAGUUGCUCCUUAUUUUAAAAGAGCUACAGUUCAUUCGGUAGCAAAAGUGGUUAAUAUUUGUAGGCUGAAUCUGUGCUGAAGUAUACUACAAAUAAGCUUGUGUCUUAGGAUUCAUUCGAAUUGUUCAAGUUUGUGUAAACCACAAGUUCCCACCACUUUUGUUAGUUGACCCUACAUUUCCAUAGCAACCCACUAUGAAUCGAAAUAUUGCUCCUUCUAAAAUGUUCAACCAAAAAGCUCAACAUAACGAAAAGGCUAGACAAAGAUAUGCCUCUUUAACUAAGGAGCAGAAAGAAAUCCAACGAAAAAAACACCGUGAUACCUAAUAAAGUAAAAAAGAAAAGACAAGGACUACUUUUACCUCCUCGUUAGUAUUAAGAGGAAAAGGUAUCGCGUUGUAUAUACUACAUUAUAGUGAAUAUUUAGAGGCCCACCUACCUCUAUAAUAACUCCCAACAAGUAUGGCUGUAAACUAAACUACCUUUUCCUCUAUCUCUAUGCUCAGAUGAUGAGCACACCAGUAAUAAGCAACUGUUACAGCAGGCUUUUCGCAUUCAAGAACCUAACUAUGGUCAUAAGCACCACAGUGAGGCAGGUUAUUUUGUAAUCCCUUUUCCUUUAGGCUAUUGUGAUGUCAUAUAGGCAUAACAUUUUCACAAUCUAUUUAGUUCCUGGAGACAAAGUUGAAGAUAAUCGAAGGCAGAAGGAGCAUGUUUCAGAAUUUUCAACAUAUCACAAAGGUGAACCACAUGGAAUACUAUGAACUCAAACAUUUUGAUCUAAGCUAUGGUUUUUUAUAAUACUAUGAUGUGGUUCUCUAUUACUUUCGUAUGGCUUCUUAGUUACAACUUCCAUCUUUUCUCUCUUCACUGUUCUUAUAUUUGUAUGGAAUUUGUAAGGAUGUUUGCAAGUGGUGAGAUCUAUCUAACCUUAAUUUGUAAAGAGCGGACCCAUAGGCACCCGACUCCCGCGCAUUGCGCGGGCCUUCCCCACUAGUAAUAAUAAUAAUAUAGAGCACUGAAACAAUAAUGAAAGCGUAAGAGGGUCUUUGUUAAAUUCGUCUCCUGAAAAAUGUGGAGUUCUGAACUCUAUCCCCAUCAAGGUAAUUAUUCCCAGCCUUAACAGGCAUUGCCGCACACAUUUAAGGAACCCUUUUGGGUUCAAGAGAGCUUUGAUUUAUAGAAGGGCUGUUACCAAAUACGGUCUGUUAAUGGAGAACCACAUUUAUGUUUGGCAAAAGGAGAUAGCUAGCCACCUUAAGAGUUCCAUGCUCUUCGUUAUAUAUAUAUAUAUAUAUAUAUAUAUAUAUAUAUAUAAUCCAACAAUAUCUCAAAUAACCCUCUGUUUUCUUACUAAAAUCAUGAGUCCAUGGAAAAACGGAUAAUUAGUAUGUUCACUUAAUAAUGAUAAUAAUAAUAAUAAUAAUAAAGUGUAUAAAAAUAGUGGUAGAGUUUUUUUUUAAUUCAAGUACAAAAGUGGAAGGGAAAAGGGCAAAAUGGAUGUCUGAGAAUUGAAUCAGGACAUUAUGAUUAUGUAGUUAAUGCUUCUCUCAACCGAGUUGGAACUUGGGAAUUGGUUUCUAUUCCUACGUUAGUGCAACUAGGCUGGCACAAAAUAUAGGAUAUAGAAUCCCAGGUGCUUUACUUCUACUGACUAGUUACUACUAAGAAUGUCACAGAUAGUGUACUGUUCAUGUCAUUUGGUUUCGGAAAAACAUGUAAAAUUUGGCAAAGUCAGAACUAGUGAAUUGGGAAGAAAUUAACUGUUAGCAAUUGUUUGAGUUGUAGUUGAGUUAUCAAACUUGAUUCAUAUUAUGGUAAUAUGGCAAUUAAGUUUACCAGAAAAAUAAUUGGCACCAAUACAGAGGUUUCUAAAUUUUAACUUGUAAAGCGAAGUUGGUCUCUCAAACAUGAACAUAAAAUCUUUUUAUUUCUUGAGUUUAGAUAAAAUUCUUGCUAUCCCAAUGCUUUUUAUGAAAAUGUUAUUCAAUGAGAAUAAUUUGCAUUUGUGGUUUUCUGUUCACAUGGGGAAAAUGUGCAUGCCUUGGAUCAUUUUCAUGCAUAUGUUGGUGCAUUUAUAUAUGUACAUAGAGAAAGUAAGCUGAUGCCUUGUUCUGUUUGGUUCAUAAUAAUGUGCAUGCCUUGUUCUGUUUGCAUAGUAAGCUGACGCAUUUAUAUAUGUUGGUGCAUUUAUAUUUUCAUGCCCUGUUCUGUUUGUUUCAGAAUAAUUAGGAAAAGUCAUUCAGCACUUUUGGUUCUUUCUCAUUUUUUUAAAAUAUUCUUCAAGAAAUUUGCAAGCUGAUGUUAUUUUUCUUCUUGAAUAAUUAGAGAAGUACGUAUACCACCUAUUCAAAAUAUUAAAAUUUUACUAAAGUUCAUUAAUGUUUCACCACAGGUUUGAAUUGAAGAUAGCUAUCUAUGAAAAGAAAUCAUUUUGAAGACGUUGCACAUUGAUUUCGCUAGAGGUACAAGGCAACUUAUAUUCUCGUGUUCUUUUUUAUUAGGAAUUAGAUUAAGUUACAUAUAUGAUAUUAAAUUCGUUCAUUUGUUUGAACCUGUAAUGUACGUUCAUUUUCAUCUUUUGGUCAUUUGAAUUCUUAAUUUUUUUUUAAACUGGAGUGUCAUUGCAGUAGAUAUAUUAUAUGACCUGCAAAUUUUAUUCUUAACAUUGAUUCGUGUAAAAAAACUGUUUACUUGGUGACACGUGAUAAAUGGCUAGUAGUGGAAAACCUUUGGGGUUCAGUCUGUUUGCUCAUGUCUUGUGCUUUUAUCUCAAACAGUGACCUUCU